rfam:Massilia sp. NR 4-1, complete genome.
GUCACCCUGCAGUGUUCGCGAUUGUCAUAUAUUCCUUGAACCAUUUACAUGCAUCGGUUGCGGGAAUUUGCUCGGCGGGCGUGAGCGUCGCUAGUCCGAUGAACCCGAAGCUGAACUAACUGCAACCACCUUGAACCGUAAGGUUCGGGAUGCCGGCAUAGCGGCACAGGCGGGGCACUU